ACAUAAAGCCAGUAGGUCAUUAAAACAAUUAAUUUACUCAUUCAAAUAAAAAUGAACACCAUGUAACACCAAAAUCCAAUCAUAGUCACAGGGGCAAGAUUUCAGCAACAGCAAGAGAAAGUAGUACAAACAGGAAUGAGCAACAAUAGACAAUUAAUGGGUGUGAAUUGGCCUGGAAAAUAUUGUGGCAAUGUCCAUAGAUAAAUCAAUAGUUAUUUGUUAUACAAGGGAAAGACAAUGCAUACUCAGUCCAGAAAAGCCACCAGGGGGCGGUCUGGGUCUCUUGGAUUAUAAGAAGCUCAAGAGGGUCAAACAUAAUGAAUCCUGCUCACUGACUCGUGUAAAUGUUAAAGCAGUUGCUUCCUCCCACAGGGCAAAUCCACAGCACACAGCCACCCUGGGCUGGCGCCUCACAGUGUAGUUGCUCUCAGGGCUGUGGACCUAGGUGGUGAUAAAGACAGUAAAGAUUUGCAUACAGCAGCACACAACACACCCCCUCCCUGUGGAGAGCUCAGUAGGAGAUAAAGAGCCAUCAGAAUCCAGCCCCAGCUCUGGAGCCAGAGAUCCCUUCCAAUAUCAGCACCAUGGCCUGGACUCUGCUCCUCCUCCAGUUCCUCCUCACUUGCUGCCCAGGGUCCAAUUCUCAGGCUGUAGUGACUCAGGAGCCCUCACUGACUGUGUCCCCAGGAGGGACAGUCACUCUCACCUGUGCUUCCAGCACUGGAGCAGUCACCAGUGGUCACUAUUUUCACUGGUUCCAGCAGAAGCCUGGCCAAGCCCCCAGGACACUGAUUUAUAAUACAAACUACAAACACUCCUGGACUCCUGCCCGGUUCUCAGGCUCCCUCCUUGGGGGCAAAGCUGCCCUGACACUGUCAGGUGUGCAGCCUGAGGACGAGGCUGAGUAUUACUGCUGGCUGCACUAUAGUGGUGCUCAGCACAGUGACAGACUCAUAAGAGGAACCAAGACAUAAACCUCCCUAGGCUGUUGUGAUGUGGAGAUCACAUGAUCAGACACGCCGGUUCCCAAGACAGCCUACAUGGGGAGCAGCCAUAGAAAGGCGAAGGAAAGGGUCUGAGUUGAUUUCUAUCUCUGCUUGUGCCUUGAAGUGGAGGAAAUGUGAGAGGGAUUUGCUGUAAUUGAAUUAGAACAAGAAAAAAUUAAUUGUUUUAUAUUAAAAACAAGAAAACAGAAAGAGCAUGUUCAGAUCUAAAGGCUGAGUC